rnacentral:rRNA from 1 species
CAGCCGCGGUAUCCUAACCGUGCUAAGGUAGCAUAAUCACUUGCCUAUUAAUUAUAGGCUAGCAUGAAUGGGAUCACUGUCUUAAAAUUAUUUUCAUUAUAAUUUAAAUUAGAUUUUAAGUUAAAAUACUAAAUUCAAAAGAAAGACAAAAAGACCCUGAAAACUAUUAACAAAUUAGUUGGGGCAACUAUAGACUACAGUAGCGUCUAUUAACUAUAAAUAAUUAAAAUACAUAGUUCUCAGUUACUUCAGGGAUAACAGACUAAUUUUAUUAUUUAGAUCUUAUAAAUAAUAAAGAUUGGCACCUCGAUGUUGGCUUAUAUUUCCUUCCUAU